rnacentral:ncRNA from 1 species
AAACAGAUAGGUUUGGUCCUGGCCUUUCUAUUAGCUUUUAGUAAGAUUACACAUGCAAGCACCCACGCCCCAGUGAAAAUGCCUUCUAGAUCACCCAGAUCAAAAGAAGCAGGUAUCAAGCACGCAUAAAUGCAGCUCAAAACACUUUGCUCAACCACACCCCCAUGGGAAACAGCAAUGAUAAAUCAUUAUUAAUAAGUGAAAGUUUAACCUAUGCUGAUAUCUAGGGUUGGUCAAUUUCGUGCCAGCCACCGUGGCCAUACGAUUAACCCAAGUUAAUAAAACUCUGCGUAAAGAGUGUUUAAAGUCUGGCCUCAAUAAAGCUAAACUCCAUCUAAGUUGUAAAAAACUCCAGCUGAAAUAAACUAUACUAGGAAAGUGGCUUUAAUACCCUGAAGAUACAAUAGCUAAGACCCAUGCUGGGAUUAGAUACCCCACUAUGCUUAGCCCUAAACUCUAAUAGUUACAUUAACAAAACCAUUCGCCAGAAUACUACAAGCAACAGCUUAAAACUCAAAGGACUUGGUGGUGCUUUAUAUCCCUCUAGAGGAGCCUGUUCUAUAAUCGAUAAACCCUGAUACACCUCACCACUUCUUGCCCCCGGUCUGUAUACCGCCAUCUUCAGCAAACCCUAAAAAGGUUGUAGAGUAGGCUGGGCGCAGUGGCUCACGCCUGUAAUCCCAGCACU